UGAGGAAUAUUGGUCAAUGGGCGAGAGCCUGAACCAGCCAAGUAGCGUGCAGGAUGACGGCCCUAUGGGUUGUAAACUGCUUUUAUAUGGGAAUAAAGUGAGGGACGUGUCCCUUAUUGCAUGUACCAUACGAAUAAGGACCGGCUAAUUCCGUGCCAGCAGCCGCGGUAAUACGGAAGGUCCAGGCGUUAUCCGGAUUUAUUGGGUUUAAAGGGAGCGUAGGCUGUUUGUUAAGCGUGUUGUGAAAUGUAAGAGCUCAACUUUUAGAUUGCAGCGCGAACUGGCAGACUUGAGUGCGCACAACGUAGGCGGAAUUCAUGGUGUAGCGGUGAUAUGCUUAGAUAUCAUGACGAACUCCGAUUGCGAAGGCAGCUUACGGGAGCGCAACUGACGCUAAAGCUCGAAGGUGCGGGUAUCGAACAGG
rnacentral:rRNA from 1 species